rnacentral:tRNA from 1 species
GCCCGGGUGGCGAAAUCGGUAGACGCGGGGGACUUAAAAUCCCCUCCUUCGGGGUGCGGGUUCGACUCCCGCCCCGGGCACCG